rnacentral:tRNA from 1 species
GCUCUUGCAGUUUGAUGUGAACGUUAAAUUUGUAAUUUAAUAGAAACUCCUCAGAGUUCUAGAGCU